CCUUUCCAUGCUGUGGAGCCUGUGUUGUUUUGCUUUUCACAAUAAAUCUUGCUGCUGCUCACUCUUUGGGUCCGCACCAACUUUAAGAGCUGUAACACUCACUGCGAGGUCGUGGCUUCAUUCUUGAAGUCAGUGAGACCACGAACCCACUGGAGGAACAACCAACUCUGGACGCGCCACCUUUAAGAGCUAUAACACUCACAGUGAGAGCCGUCGCUUCAUUCUUGAAGUCAGCAAGACCAAGAACCCACCAGAAGAAAUAAAUUCUGGACACAAUAUGUUUAAUAUUAGAAGAAUGAUUACACAUAGCUUGUUACAGAUUUCCAAAAAACAGGCUGACUUUAUUACUGGCGGUGGAGGGGGUUGUCUGGACUUCUUUUGGUAAUGAAAACACAUGGCACGUCUGGAGGUCUAGUUUUCAAAGAUGAACAAAAGAAUUUUCCUUGCUCUAAGGCAGGACAAGACACGACAAGAGCUGGCUAACGUCAACAGGGCAUGCCUGAUUUUGUAUGAAGUACGUGUAAGAGCAAACAUUUUGAUUCAUUAAGGCAGCUAGAGACAUUUUUGAACUAUGAGCAUAUUGUUUUAUUCCUCAAUGUCUUUGACUCUCUUUACAAAUGUAUCAAAACAAAAUUGCUAGUGCUUUUUUUUACUAAAGAAACAGAAUUAAAGAACUUUAGAAUU
rnacentral:lncRNA from 10 species